UCAGCCUCUACGGUUCACUGGAGAACAGAAGGACAAGAACAAAAAAGCACGCACACACUCGACAAUGGGCAAGCGCACCAAGAAGGCCCCAAAGCAGAAGCGGAAACUCGCCAUGGCGGAUCGCCCGCGCAAGCUUACUAGCAAGGGCAAGGUAAAGCACAAGCGCGGAGACCUGAAGAUGGUGAGCUCUCGCAACGUCAGCUUUGACGUGAGGCAAGGCAAGGGCGGCAAGUGGAUCAAGACAGGGGAGCGCAAGUGCAACAUCCAUACCGUGUGCGACUGUGUCAAGCGAACGGAUCCGGCGCGGAUGCGCUACAUUACAAAUCGGUGAAAUGUGAAGAGCACAGCGCCUGCGGGCCACCAGCGGUGAACAACCUUUUUUCUUCUUCACUCACGUCGUUGCUGCGUCUCUACGAGUGCUUGGCCCGUUUUUGUUUUCGGUGGUUUACGUGCGCGUGCGUGUGUAUGUGUGUGCUGCCUCCUCUCUCGUAUGAAUGUUGUGCGCCACUGCACUUCCAUAAUUGGUCAUGCUCCCACGGCCACAGCAACAGUAACAAAACGAAGCGUGGUAACUUUUGGAGACGACUCGUUUGGCGACACCUCGUCCUCUUUCUCCUCUGACCCAACCGUCAGGGACGGCUAGGGUCCCCUGAUUGGCGCUCUCAAGUGCUUCGCGUUAUCCCUGCUCGUCGGCGUGCUGCAGGGUUAUGGCGCGAUUGCGCCUACGUAGGUGUGUUACUUUUCCUGCGACACGCACACGCCCAUCCCUCUCUCUUUCUCUCUCCUCUGCCUCGUUCCCCAUACUUUUUUCCUCCGCACUUGUGGCAUUCCACUCUGUGUGUGCGUGCGCGCGUCGCCUGCGGUGUCGGGAAG
rnacentral:misc_RNA from 1 species